UACGUAGGGGGCAAGCGUUGUCCGGAAUCAUUGGGCGUAAAGCGCGUGUAGGCGGCUCGGUAAGUCUGCUCUGAAAGCCCAAGGCUCAACCUUGGGAUGCGGGUGGAUACUGCCGGGCUCGAGUCCGGAAGAGGCGAGUGGAAUUCCUGGUGUAGCGGUGAAAUGCGCAGAUAUCAGGAGGAACACCAAUGGCGAAGGCAGCUCGCUGGGACGUGACUGACGCUGAGACGCGAAAGCGUGGGGAGCAAACAGG
rnacentral:rRNA from 1 species